rnacentral:rRNA from 1 species
CCUACGGGAGGCAGCAGUAGGGAAUAUUGCUCAAUGGGGGAAACCCUGACGCAGCAACGCCGCGUGGAGGAUGAAGGUUUUCGGAUUGUAAACUCCUUUUGUUAGGGACGAUACUGACGGCAUUUCACGAAUAAGCACCCGCUAACACCGUGCCAGCAGCAGCGGUAAUACGGAGGUUGCAAGCGUUACUCGGAAUCACUGGGCGUAAUGAGCGCGUAGGCGGGAUAGCAAGUCAGAUGUGAAAUCCUAGGGCUUAACCAUCGAACUGCAUUUGAAACUGUUAUUCUAGAGUAUGGGAGAGGUAGGUGGAAUUCGUGGUGUAGGGGUAAAAUCCGUAGAGAUCAAGAGGAAUACUCAUGGCGAAGGCGACCUGCUAGAACAUAACUGACGCUGAUGCGCGAAAGCGUGGGGAGCAAACAGGAUUAGAUACCCUGGUAGUC